rnacentral:rRNA from 1 species
GAUGAACGCUGGCGGCGUGCCUAAUACAUGCAAGUCGAGCGAACGGACGCGAAGCUUGUUUCUCUGAUGUUAGCGGCGGACGGGUGAGUCACACGUGGAUAACCUACUUAUCAGACUGGGAUAACUUCGGGAAACCGGAGCUUAUACCGGAUAAUCUUUUGAACCGCAUGGUUCAAAAGUGAAAGACGGUCUUGGUGUCACUUCUCGAUGGUUCCGAGCUGCAUUAGCUAGUUGUUACGGUAACGGCUUACCAAGGCUACGAUGCAUAGCCGACCGGAGAGAGUGGUAGGCCACACGGGAACUGGGACACGGACCAGACUCCUGCGGGAGGCAGCAGAAGGGAAUCUUCCGCAAUGGGCGAAAACCUGACGGAGCAACGCCGCGUGAGAGAUGAAGGUCUUCGGAGCGUAAAACUCUGUUAUGAGGGAAGAACAGAUUUGUAAGGAACUGAGCACAUCUUGACGGUACCUAAUCAGAAAGCCACGGCUAACUACGUG